rnacentral:rRNA from 1 species
UACGUAGGGUGCGAGCGUUGUCCGGAAUUAUUGGGCGUAAAGAGCUCGUAGGCGGCUUGUCGCGUCGUCUGUGAAAUCCCGCGGCUCAACUGCGGGCUGGCAGUCGAUACGGGCAGGCUGGAGUUCGGUAGGGGAGACUGGAAUUCCUGGUGUAGCGGUGAAAUGCGCAGAUAUCAGGAGGAACACCGGUGGCGAAGGCGGGUCUCUGGGCCGAUACUGACGCUGAGGAGCGAAAGCGUGGGGAGCGAACAGG